rnacentral:lncRNA from 1 species
CAAAAAGUUACACAAAUAAACCAGAAAAGACUCAUUCCCUAAGAAUUGAACCCAGGCUGCCAUUGUCAAAAGACAAGGCCUUAGCUACUGAGGUACAGCAUUGAGCAGUUUCUAUUGCUCUUCCUAGAAGAAGCCUAGAGCAGCCAAUUUUGAGCUUGCAAAGGCUUUUAACUGCUGAAGUUAACUUUUAGGGUUAACUAUGAUAUGCAUCCCCAAAUUCCUGUCCUCUGGAUGCCAGAGACCAAGAGAAAGUAUCUCCACAUGGUCACAAGGUUGGGCUCUUAAAGACACAAAACAAGACAGAUAAAUUUCAUCUGGUAUUGGUUUCAGGGACACACAGCAAAGUUUGUAACUGAGCAGCCUGCCAGGCUGGCUUGAAAAAUGGGCUUACAGGAGUCCUAAACCCACAUUCUAUUCUGUGAUACCCUUCUCUCCAUUACAGAACAACACAGAAAGACAAAUUCUUAGCACAAAGUACACCAUAUUUGCUACAACCUAACACUACUCUCAGAAAUCCUUUCUUCUACUAAUCAAACCCUUGCAGAGGAGACAUUGAUGUUUAUCAUUUAUACACAGAGAGAAAGAGACAGAGACCGGAAACUUGGCUGGUAAGAAAUUCCUACCCUUUUUGCUGGCAUACCAGGUUUCUGUGUCCCCUUUCUCUGAAGCUUCCAGAAAAUGGAGCAGCUUUUGAUGACCCUGCUUACUGUGCCAUAGCUGUGGGGGCCAAGCCCUGUUACAAAAGAAAAUCAUCCAUUUCUGUUUUAUGGAACCAUAGGCAAAAGCUUCUCACUUUUCCAAGAUGCUGCCUGAUGGGUUGCAUGGGGAACUGAAUUAAUAUUUUCCAUCCCAGCCGAAGCAAAAUACACAUAACGAAACAGACACUAGUCACCUCGUUCAGCACCCAAUAUUGACCUGGCAAGGCUCAAACUUUCUCAUGUUGGUUCCCAUAGUCUUUGAUCCACUCCAAGUGGAGAGGGAUGACCUCCAACCGGUAAUUGAAUAGGUGGUCUCUGGGCAAGAUGAAGAGUGGACAGUCACCCCAUGUCAGGCCUGUUGAGCUUUCUUCAGGGCUCAUCAGAUGUAACCUGACUUACGUAGAGUUCUCCGAGUUAGGCCUGCUGGACUUCCAUCAGCAAUUCCCUCAGAGAUCCCCUCAACAUAUACAAACACACACACAACAAAGACAAGACAGACAGAAGGCCUUUGAGACACAGAUUCCAGACCCAGUCACAAACCAAGAGUAUUCCUCCAAACAAGUCCCCUAUUCUCCAUCCAAUUAGACAUCUCACCAGUAGACAUCUCGUGAUGGGGCUAAAGACAGACACCCCAUGAUGGAGCUAAAGACAGACACCAAAAAAGAGACAGCAGCACCUCCAGAGAGACUGACAAAUAGGAGAAGGAAGGGGCUGUUGGCAGCACCUAGAAUACUCACCAAAUCAGACACCCCAUAAUGGGGCUACAGCUACAGACACUCCAUGACGGGGCUACAGACAGACACCCAGUGGUAGGGCUACAGUUGCAGACACCCAGUGGUGGAGCUGGAGAGAGACACCCCACCAUGGGGCUACAGACAAACAUUCCACCAUGGAGCUACAGUUAUGGGAUAUCUCCCAGGACUAUUUCUCUAUCGCAAUUAAAUUCAUGCACAAUGGAUCAGCAGCACCCCACCAGUAGAGCCAGUACUAGAGUCAACCCCCAGUCCAAGAGAACUAGGUGGCCACUUGGGUGGCCUCUGGAUCUGUUGCUGGAGGGAGUCUACCAAACCAUGGGCAGGCAGCCACAAGGGCAAUUCUGAGCAAGCCCCAAAUUUGUAACCGCCCAAUGAGUUCACCUUGCCUGCUGCCUAGACAAAGCCAAUUUAUCAAGACAGGGGAAUUGCAAUAAAGAAAGAGUAAUUCAUGCAGAGCCAACUUUGCGGGAGACUGAAGUUUUAUUAUUACUCAAAUCAGUCUCCCUAAGCAUUCAAACAUACAGAGAUCGGCAUUUUUAACGAUAAUUUGGAGAGUAGGGGAGAACCAGUGAGUCAGGAGUGCUGAUUAGUUGGGUCAGAGGUGAAAUCAUAAAGGGUCAAAGCUAUCUUCUUGGGCUGAGUCAGUUCCUGGGUAGGGGCCCCAAAAUCAGAUGAGCCAGUUUAUCAAUCUGGGUGGUGCCAGCUGAUCCAUCAAGUGCAGGGUCUGCAAAAUAUCUAAAGCACUAACAUUUCAUUUUAUAAUAAUGACAUUAUCCCCAGGAGCAAUUUGGGGAGGGUCAGAAUCCUUUAGUCUCCAGCUGUGUGACUCCUAAACCAUAAUUUCUACUUUUGUGGCUAAUUCAUUAGUCCUACAAAGGCAGUCUAGUCCCCAGGCAAGAAGGAGGUUUGUUUUGAAGAAGGGCUGUUAUCUUUGUUUUAAUCUAUAAAUUAAAAACUAAGAUCCCCCCAAAGUUGGUUCAGACCAUGCCCAGGAAUGAAGAAGGACAGCUUGGAGGUUAGAAGCAAGAUUUUAGGUCAGAUCUCUUUCACUGUCUCAGUUAUGAUUUUGCAGUGGUGGUUUCACAGACACACGGCUAAUCCUCUUACCUAAUCCAUUAGACUUUGUCCCAGCCCUUGAAGUUGUCUCCCCCUGGCCUGCCCAACACACAGGGCACAGCCUGUACUUUCACCAGUAAUCACCCCUUCCCCAAAUGCACUGGAAUCCCACUGAUGACAAGGCCUCAUUUCUUAACCAGGAUGUGGUAAAGUGCUCUCUACAGCAUAAAAGCCCCCAAAAAAUUUGAUGAUGAUGAUGGAUCAAGCUCUGGAGCCCCACUAAUGACAAAAAAGGAAGUGUGUGUGUGUGGGUGUGGGUGUGUGUGUGCACGUGGACACAUGUAGGUGAAGGGUGUGGGAGCAUUACAAGUUGUACAAGGCAGUGGAAUGGAUUUUUGCAGGGACUACUUAUAGAAUUAGUCAGGUCCUUUGCUUUUAGAUACCUCCCACAGCUCUUAGCUGUGCAUGAAUGAUUCCUUCAGUAGCUUGUGUACUUAGCAGCUAAGCAGGUCUUGCUUGGAGAGAUGAGGUACUUGCCUUCACUUACCCACUGAAUUUAAAACCCAGUUUAACCCUCCUUGCUUUAUGGGGUUUCCUCACAGUCUUCUAAGCAUGUCCUUCCAAUGGGUGAAGCUGAAGGAGAAGACCCCAGGAAUGGCUUAAGAGCUGAGGGCCACUUUAAGUAGAUACUUCUUGGACUUUAAAUUAUGAAAACAAAACACACAGAACCAAAGCAAAAGCCACUGGAAUAAUGACAUAAUGGCCACACUGGAGUUGUAUUGUUUUCUCCUGAGCAGUAACAUUUCAAAGCUGUCUCGAAGGUUGUUGCCUGGUAGCAGAGAUUUGCAGGAGGGGAAGGCAGAUUUAGAAAUAUAUUCUAUGACUAGGGCUCUUUAUAGAAAAGGUAAAAGGAUGAAUUGAUAAGGAUUCUGUUUUUUCAGAGCAGAAGAACUUGAUAAGGAGUCUUAAGAAGCUGACAUUUUAAAAACAAAAAACUCAAGUUGUUAUUAUAGUAUUGUGACACUUCUGCAUAAUUUCCUAACAAAGACCAGCAUUCAUAGUGCUGAGGAACAGACUUUUCCAGGCAUUUUACUGAAUAAGCUGUAAAAUGCUGCCUUUGACUUUGCUGGUGGCCUGCUUGGCAUAGCUUCUCUGGGCCUCUGCUUAACUUUCCCAGACAGCACAGCACUUUGAAACACUCUCCCCACUGAAUACAACUAACAAGUUCUUGAUAAAUCUCUACUAUCAAAACUUAUUUGGAUUCUUACCUGGCAGGGGAGAUGCCAUGAUCAUGAAGGUGGUUUUCCCAGGCUGAGGCUCAUCCAUUGCACUCCAUAGGUGUGCUUACCCCUGUGAUUUCCCCAAAUGCGGGAAACUCAACUGCAUAAUUUGUGGUAGUGAGGAACUGCAUUCGUGCUUUCCCCUGGGAAAAAAAAAAAACAAAAAAACUUAUAUGGAGUUUAAAAUAUAAUUAAUUAAAAAUCAAUCCUGUGGGAUCACAUAUCUAGGGGAGACUUUAACCCAUCACAGAUACUGGAUCUGGAUAACUUGCAAUAACCCAGUGUCUGUGAUGGGUUAGUCUCCCCUUAACUUAUCACAGAUACUGGGUUAUUGCAGGUCUGGAUUACAUAGUGCACUAACAAGAAAAAUCAGUGUGCCAUAGGUCCUUGGUGUUCCAAAAGUCAGAAUAGUUAUAAAAUCCUGACUAUGGCUUCCUCCAUUGCUUCAUCAGCUAUUCAGUUACUCACACCUAGCUAUUCACAACAAAAGAAAGAAGCAACAAAAAAAAAACCAUUAAGUUUCUUGAAGAACUUGGAAAUAAGGUUGACAAUGAACAUUAAACUAGUAAAAUCCAUAUACAAUAAAAGAGAUUAACAGAGGCCACCCUGAGGAACCAUUAACAUACUUUCUAUUAACAAACCUGAAGAAAGCACUAAGAAGAGUUAGGAAAAGAGAGUCAGAGAGCAGGAAUUUUAGUCUAGAACUAUCCAAGGAGAGAGGCACUUUGAUAGUAGUGGCAGUUCUGGUGGCACAGGUAGAGUGGAAGCAAGGAGACCAGUUGAGGUUCCUGCUAUAUGCCAGCCAAGAAUGGUGAUUUGGACUUGGAUAAAUGGUGGAAGUGGAGGUGGAGUGAAGUAGACAGAUCCAAGAUUUAUUUUGGAUGUAGGAUCCAUGGAACUUGGUAAGGUGUGAGCUUAUGGGAGUUGAGGAGAAGAUAGCAGAAAGGCUGACUCCCAGAUUUCUGGCAUGACUAACUGGAAGGAUGAAGAGACACCCAGCUGAGAUUUGGGGAGGAGCAGAUUUGGGGAAAAUAUCAAACAUGUAAUUUUGGGUAGGCCAAGUUUGAGAUGGUGUCUUUGUCUACUUUGUGUUGCUAUAAAGGAAUAUCUGAGGCUGGGUGACUUAUAAAGGAAAGGCUUAUAGGGCUCAUGGUUCUGCAGGCUGCACAAUAAGCAUGGUGGCAGCAUCUGCUCAGCUUCUGGUGAGGGGCUGCAGGUUGCCUCCACUAUUGGCAGAAAGGAAGAGGGAAGGAGAGCGAGCAUGGGCUGAGAUCACAUGGUGAGAGAGGAAGCAAGAGAGAGCAGGGAGGUGCUAGGCUCUUUUUACCAACCAGCUUUCAUGGGAACUAACAACCAGCAUAACAGAGUGAAAACUCACUCACUUUACCUGCGCCCACCAACCCACAAAGGGAGGGCAUUAAUCUAUUCAUGAGAGGUCAUCCUCCCUGACCCAAACAUUUCCCAUUAGGUCCCACUUCCAACAUUGGGAUCAAAUUUCAACAUGAGGCUUGGGGAGACAAACAUCCAAACUAUAACAUUCUGCCCCUUCCCCCUAAACUCAUGUCCUUCUCAGAUGCAAAAUACAUUCUACCCCAAUAGUGCCCAAAGUGUUAACUUGUUCCAACGUCAACUUAAAAGUCUAAAGUCCAAAGUCUCAUCUGAGACUCAGGGCAAAUUCCUUCCAGCUAUGAGCCUGUAAAAUCAAAAACAAGUUAUUUAGUUCCCAGAUGCAAUGGUUGUACAGGCAUUAGGUAAAGAUUUUCAUUCCCCAAAGGAGAAACUGGCCAAAAGAAAGGUAACAGGCCCAUGCAAGUCUGAAACCCAGUAGGGCAGACAGGCAGACAUUAAAUCUUAAAGCUCCAAAAUAAACUUUGACUCCAUGUCCUGCAUUCUGGGGACACUGGUUUGAGGGAUGGGCUCCCAGUGCCUCAGACAGCCCUACCCCUAUGGCUUUGCUGAGCGCUGCCUACAUGGCUGCUCUUAUGGUUUGGAGUGGAGUACCUGAGGCUUUCACAGACUGAGGUGCAUGCUGCUGGUGCCUCCAUAAUGCUAGGGUGGAGGGCAGCAGCCCUUCUUCCACAGCUACUAGGCACUGCCCUAGUACAGUUUCUCUGCAGUGGCUUGCCCCUGUGGCAGGCUUCUGCCUGGGCACUCAGGCUUUCCAAUACAUCCUCUGAAAUCUAGGUGGAAGCUGCCCAGCCUUUACCACUCUUACAUUCUGGGAGCCUGCAGACAACACCAUGCGGAAGCUGCAACAACUUAAGGCUUACACUCUCUGGAACAGCAGCCUGAAGUGGUACCUGGGGCUGUUUGGGCUCAGGCUAGAGCUAGAGCAAUUAGAAUGCUCCCCACAUCCUGCGGUGGCAUAGGGCAAAAGCACCCCAGGCCUGUCCCCUGAAACCAUUCUGUCCUCAUAGGCCUCUGAGCCUGUGAUGGGAGGGAUGACCUCAAAGAUUUCUGAAAUGUCUUUGAGGUCUUUUCCCCAUUGUUCUAUUAGCACCUCAUUCCCUUUUAUCCAUGGUAAUCUCUCUAGCAAGUGGUUGCUCCAUAUCGCCCUUGGAUUCCUCACCUGAAAACAUUCUUUCCUUCUCUACCACAUGACCAAGUUAUAAAUGUUCCAAAUUGUUUUGCUCUUUUUCUCUUUUAAUUAGAAAUUCCACCUUUAGAUCAUUAUUUUGCUGCUGUAUCUGAUCAUAAGCUGUUAAAAGUAGCAGGCCAGUCAUGGUGCUCACGCCUGUAAUCCCAGCACUUUGGGAGGCUGAGGCGGGCAGAUCACGAGGUCAGGAGAUCAAG